GAUAAACGCUGGCGGCGUGCCUAAUACAUGCAAGUCGAUCGAUGGAUGCCCAGCUUGCUGGGAGGAAAUAGAGGCGAACGGGUGAGUAAUACGUAAGCAACCUGCCCACGAAGACCGGGAUAAUCCCUGGAAACGGGGACUAAGACCGGAUAGGUAACAGAACCGCAUGAUUUUGUUAUUAAAGGUUAAAACACUGGUGGAUGGGCUUACGGUGCAUUAGCUUGUUGGUGAGGUAACGGCCCACCAAGGCGAUGAUGCAUAGCUGGUCUGAGAGGAUGAACAGCCACAUUGGGACUGAGACACGGCCCAGACUCCUACGGGAGGCAGCAGUAGGGAAUUUUCGGCAAUGGGGGAAACCCUGACCGAGCAACGCCGCGUGAGUGAAGAAGGUCUUCGGAUUGUAAAGCUCUGUUGUAAGGGAAGAACGGCAUCUAGAGAAUAGGUGAGUGACGGUACCUUACCAGAAAGCUACGGCUAACUACGUG
rnacentral:rRNA from 1 species